CAUGGCUCAGGAUGAACGCUAGCGGCAGGCUUAACACAUGCAAGUCGAGGGGUAACAGAGGAGCUUGCUCUUGCUGACGACCGGCGCACGGGUGCGUAACGCGUAUACAAUCUGCCUUACACUAAGGGAUAGCCCAGAGAAAUUUGGAUUAACACCUUAUAGUUUAUUUUUAUGGCAUCAUUUAAAUAAUAAAGUUUACGGUGUAAGAUGAGUAUGCGUCCCAUUAGUUUGUUGGUAAGGUAACGGCUUACCAAGACUACGAUGGGUAGGGGCCCUGAGAGGGGGAUCCCCCACACUGGUACUGAGACACGGACCAGACUCCUACGGGAGGCAGCAGUGAGGAAUAUUGGACAAUGGAGGAGACUCUGAUCCAGCCAUGCCGCGUGCAGGAAGACGGUCCUAUGGAUUGUAAACUGCUUUUAUACAGGAAGAAUAAGGACUACGUGUAGUCUGGUGACGGUACUGUAAGAAUAAGGACCGGCUAACUCCGUGCCAGCAGCCGCGGUAAUACGGAGGGUCCGAGCGUUAUCCGGAAUUAUUGGGUUUAAAGGGUCCGUAGGCGGGCUGUUAAGUCAGGGGUGAAAGUUUGCAGCUCAACUGUAGAAUUGCCUUUGAUACUGAUGGUCUUGAAUUAUUGUGAAGUGGUUAGAAUAUGUAGUGUAGCGGUGAAAUGCAUAGAUAUUACAUAGAAUACCGAUUGCGAAGGCAGAUCACUAACAAUUGAUUGACGCUGAUGGACGAAAGCGUGGGUAGCGAAC
rnacentral:rRNA from 1 species